UUUAACAUAAUAUGUUUAUCAUCUGACAUGUUUUAAAUAAUUUUGUGAAAAAACAACAAAAAUAUUUAAUUUUCUUUUGGUAGAAUUUAAAAUAUAUAUUAAUAAAAUUUGUUUUUUAUUUUUACCUUUUGCAAUUUCAGCUUAUAAUAGUAAGAGUUUCAUCUCAAUAGUUAUUUGUUUACGCAACACAGUUGGGCCGGUGAAGGGACCAGUCGUCACGGUUUGUUUUAAUUUAGCCAGCAUCAAAGCCACCGUAAAGACUUUUCUCGGUCGUUCGUGGAGAGAAUAUUCAACAGUUAAUUAGAGUUAUAAAGUCAUAUAUUCAAAGGCAUC
rnacentral:lncRNA from 1 species